UACAGAGGGUGCGAGCGUUGUUCGGAAUUAUUGGGCGUAAAGGGCGCGUAGGCGGCGCGGUAUGUCACCUGUGAAAUCUCCUGGCUCAACUGGGAGCUUGCAGGCGAAACUGCCGUGCUGGAGUGUGGCAGAGGGAGGUGGAAUUCCACGUGUAGCAGUGAAAUGCGUAGAGAUGUGGAGGAAUACCGAUGGCGAAGGCAGCCUCCUGGGCCAGCACUGACGCUCAUGCACGAAAGCGUGGGGAGCAAACAGG
rnacentral:rRNA from 1 species